UAGGGGAAUAUUGCACAAUGGGGGGAACCCUGAUGCAGCAACGCCACGUGUGGGAAGAAGCAUUUCGGUGUGUAAACCACUGUCGUGAGGGAAUAAGGCUAUUUUUCGGAGUAGUUGAAUGUACCUCGAGAGGAAGCACCGGCAAACUUCGUGCCAGCAGCCGCGGUAAUACGAGGGGUGCAAGCGUUGUUCGGAAUCACUGGGCGUAAAGGGAGCGCAGGCGGAAGCUCAAGCGGAUUGUACAAUACCGGGGCCCAACCCCGGACCUGCAGUCCGAACUGGGUUUCUUGGAUAGUUCAGGGGCAAGCGGAAUUCCUGGUGUAGCGGUGGAAUGCGUAGAGAUCAGGAAGAACACCAGUGGCGAAGGCGGUCUACUGGACAGUAACUGACGCUGA
rnacentral:rRNA from 1 species